rfam:Methylosinus sp. R-45379 contig_127, whole genome shotgun sequence.
GCGUCCGCGAGGGCGGGUGGGGAAGAAGCCCAGUGGCGAACCGCAGCACCGAACGAGCAGUGAACUCCUCAACAGGCCGGUCCAGCCGGGUCAGCGUGCCUCUGAACGCGACGCCCGAAAUCCAACCGAGGCUGGGGCGGUAAAAGGAGCGGCGGCGGCGGGAAAUUCGAUGUUCUU